rnacentral:rRNA from 1 species
CAAUAGCGUAUAUUAAAGUUGUUGCGGUUAAAAGCUCGUAGUUGGAUUUCUGUCGAGGGCGGCCGGUCCUUACUAUGUAAGUGCAUCUGGUUCGGUCUUGGCAUCCUCUUGGGGAUCGUUUCUGUGCUUGAUUGCAUGGGGCGGAAUUCAAGACUUUUACUUUGAGGAAAUUAGAGUGUUCACGGCAAGCUAUCGCUUUGAAUACAUUAGCAUGGAAUAAUAAGAUAGGACUUUGGUCUAUUUUGUUGGUUUGCAGACCGAAGUAAUGAUUAAUAGGGAUAGUUGGGGGUAUUUAUAUUCCAAUGUCAGAGGUGAAAUUCUUAGAUUUUUGGAAGAUAAACUUAUGCGAAAGCAUUUACCAAGGAUGUUUUCAUUAAUCAAGAACGAAAGUUAGGGGAUCGAAGAUGAUCAGAUACCGU